GUUAUUCAGGGGUAUUCAAAAUGUGGUCCUGAGAUGACUGAGAAGUGGUUUCUCAGACUGGUGUGAAAGGGUAAUUGUUCCUGGAUGUUUCCCCAGAACCCUUGUCCUUGCAGAUUCAUGAGGAUGAGGACCUGGUUUCCACCCACACUUUUGGACCUGGCAGUCCAGAGUCUGCUGAGGGACAAGAACUUGGUGAUCCGGGCUCUGGAGGAACUUCCCAGGGAGCUCUUCCCACCGCUCUCUCAGCUGAACAUUUUCCGGCUGCCAACAUGGGACCUGCAGUUCUUUCAAGCUGUGCUGGAUGGGCUUGAUGUGCUGCUGGCUCAGAAGGUUCGCCCCAGGAGGUGGAAACUGCAAGUGUUGGAUAUGCGGAACAUGCACCUAAACUUCUGGAGGGUCUGGGCUGGAAACUUGGAGGACCUUGGUUCCCCAGAGGUCACAUGGAGGAGAGAAAUGAAGAAGGAUGGGCCAAAGUUGGCAGAAAAGCAGCCUCUAAGGGUGCUCAUAGACCAGGACCUCUGUCUGGAAUGCCAGGAUCCAUCUUUACACUUUCUCUUCAAGUGGGUCCAGGAGAGGAGGGGUUUGGUGCAACUGGAGUGGAGAAAGCUGUACACUGAUGCAGCUGCUCCCCUAACAACAGUGAAAUUUCUGGAAAUGGUGGUCUUUGGAUGUAUGGAGUAUGUGGAAGGUCAUCGCUUUUGGGUACUCUGUAUUGUUUGUUUUUUUUGUUUCUUUCUUUUGGUUCUUUUUUUUUAAGAACUGAAUUGGCUUUGUUUUCAUUUUUUUAAUCAAAACUUUUCUUGGUACAUUUUAGAUGUCCAUAAUGAUUACAAUCAUGAUUAGAAAUUUGUACCGGUACAUGACAUAUUUUGCUUCUUUUUUCCCAUUCCCACACCCUUCAACCCCUUUCCUGCUCCUUAUUUAAAAAAGCUUUAUUUCCAGUUUUUUCUUCUGUUCUUGUCCCUUCUUUCUUUUCCCUCUCCCCCCUUUCUUGUUCAUCUUUUCAUUUGAACAUUUUCUUCCCAUUUCCCAAUAUGUAUCACACAUUUUGGUCCUUAUUUCCACUUUCAGUUUUUUACUGCAGAGAAACAAUUCAGUAUUAAACAAGUGUGUCUGCUAGGUGUGGUUUCAUAUGUCUGUAAUCCCAGUACUUGGGAGGCUGAAGCAGGAGGAUUGCCAUGAGCUCAAGGUCAGCCCAGGCUACAUAGUGAGUUCAAGGCCAGUCUGAACUAAUAGUGAGACCCUGUUUCAAAAAAAAAUAAGUAAAUAAGAAUUUAAAAAUAAGCGUAUGUGUCCAAUUUGUCUCUCAUAAGAGUAUGGUCUUAAGGUGCAUCCAUUUAACUAGAAAUGUCUCAAGCUUAUCCUUUAUGCAGAGUAGUACUCCAGUGUAUAAGAAAACCAUAUAUUCUUU
rnacentral:lncRNA from 1 species